rnacentral:tRNA from 1 species
GCCUGGCUGGCUCAGUCGGUAGAGCACGCAACUCUUGAUCUCAGGGUUGUGAGUUCAAGCCCCACGUUGGGCG